GUGCUCACUGCGGCUGCAUGGACGCUGAAGUGGAAAUGAUACAGAGAAGAUUAGCAGGGCCCCUGUGAAAAACAGACUCUGGGAAAGUGACCAAGCACUG
rnacentral:snRNA from 1 species